AACCUUAUGGACCUGCGGGCGUAUACCUGCGGAAGGAUCAUUAACAUUUUUGGAGGUAGGCUGUAUAAGUCUGGUUGGUAACAACUAGCAUGGCCCCUCUGAUUUGUACCCUUGUCUAUUUGCGCACUUAUGUUUCCUCGGUGGGCUUGCCUGCCGAUUGGACAAACUUAUAACCUUUUUAAUUGUUAAAUCAGCGUCUGAAACAAACAUAAUAAUUACAACUUUCAGCAACGGAUCUCA
rnacentral:misc_RNA from 1 species